rnacentral:rRNA from 1 species
UACGUAGGGCGCAAGCGUUAUCCGGAAUUAUUGGGCGUAAAGAGCUCGUAGGCGGCCUGUCGCGUCGGAUGUGAAAGCCCGGGGCUUAACCCCGGGUCUGCAUUCGAUACGGGCAUGACUGGAGUUCGGCAGGGGAGACUGGAAUUCCUGGUGUAGCGGUGAAAUGCGCAGAUAUCAGGAGGAACACCGGUGGCGAAGGCGGGUCUCUGGGCCGAUACUGAUGCUGAGGAGCGAAAGCGUGGGGAGCGAACAGG